rnacentral:rRNA from 1 species
UACAGAGGGGGCCAGCGUUAUUCGGAAUUAUUGGGCGUAAAGGGCGCGUAGGCGGCCAUGCGUGUCUUCCGUGAAAUCCCUCGGCUUAACUGAGGACGUGCGGAAGAAACUGCAAGGCUUGAGUCCGGGAGAGGGGGGUGGAAUUCCCAGUGUAGCGGUGAAAUGCGUAGAUAUUGGGAGGAACACCGGUGGCGAAGGCGGCAUCCUGGACCGACACUGACGCUGAUGCGCGAAAGCCAGGGGAGCAAACGGG